rnacentral:lncRNA from 1 species
AAGAGAUUUGUUUUAUCCCAGUUUAUUACUCGGAACGGUGCUACUGAUACCCGUGGAGAUUCAUUACAUUUUAAAAGUAAUGAGCACCAUUAUAGCUUUGCUUUAUCACUUCUCACUCUUCAAACGCAGGUAUCUCCCUUCUUCUUCUCCUAUUUCUUCUUCCUCUUCUCGCGAGUUCUUCUUCAUCUACUUGUUCCUCUGUUUUUAUCAUUUUUUUUUUCAAAAUUCUAGAACAAACUGUUCAUAGCACGAAGAACAUCUAAUUAUAUAGAACCUAUUCAACAAAUUAUUUUUCUGUUUUCAAUUUGCAAGGUAAUUUUGUAGGAUAUGUUUGAAGCGCAGAAUAUCGUUACCUGCAAUCUCUGGUUAAUAAUUCAAUACCCUAAAUUUGGGUUUUCCCCUUUUUUAUUCCUGCAAUUGUAAUUUAAGCACUCAAUUUUUUUUAUCAGCAUUCAUUUUUUAAUUUAAUUAUUAUUAUUUUAAUUCACAUUGACAUUGAUUGGGAUAAUUACAGCCAAUAUAUAUUUUUUGAUUUCAAUUAAUUAAGAUUGUUUGAAAUAUAUUGAUUAAAAAUUAGUUUAAAUCAUUGAUAAUUAUUUUAAAUAAAUAUAUUAUAUUACUUUAAAUUACUUAGGUGAUUAUGACCAAUUUUCAUUUUUUUCUUCUUUUGACCAUAAUUUUCAUAUCGAAUUCUUCUGUUUAAUAAGAAAGUUUUUGUCUUAUAAAACUCAAUCUAGGUUUGUCUUUUUGUGAAAGGUACAUGUAAUUUAGAAAAAAAAUAAAAAUACUAACGUUUUAUAGUCAUGUUGUGUUGUUGACAUUUCUAUAUUUUUCAUAAAAAAAUAACUAAGAAUAUUUGUGUUAAAAAACUAUAUUCAUUUAACUAUUUGAACAAAACGAGAUAAUUGAUUAAUAUUUAGAAAAUAUUGAUAGAAUAUAAUAAUUGAUAUUUUGUAUUUUUAAUUUUUUUUUUACUUACACAGCUUUAGAAAUAAUUAGUAUUUUCUUUUCUUUGGAUUUUCACUACUAUCUUAGGCUUGAACUGAUCCUCGGUGGUUGCGGGAUAAGAAUUUUUUCACUUAUUUUGGUUAGAUUCGGUUCUCGACUUUUGGACUCAAUAUCAACUCUCAUUUGAGUAGUAUCUACAAGGGACUUCGAUGACUUACUUCACUUAUUUAUAUAGGAUUCACUUAUUCGACUUUUAACUUAAUUGAGUUUUACUCUUCACAUUACAAUUAUUAAAUAUACUAUAAAUAUUUUGUUUUAAAUCUAUUUAUUGAAUCAUACUAACGACCUCUUGACCUUUCGUCUUUAAACAAUAACUCCACUUAACAAAAAUUCUCAUCCCAAGACAAACUAUACACUACUUAAACUUUAUUAGUUGUUUCUUAAUUACUUAUUUUUUUCUUCAAAAUACCAUUUCUUUUAACUCUUUAUUUUAAAUGUUGUUAUUUAUUCCUCAAAAUAUUUUUCAUUCUCAUGGUAACAAGAAUCACCCAUAGUCAUAUUCACUUUCUGUUAAGAAAUUUUAGAUCCAUAUUCAAGAGUAAACUGGCACAAAAAAACUGUAAGCCCAUAUCUUGAUAGAAAAAUAUAAUGGGUUCUUCUUUCUGCACCCCCACAAUUAUCAAAAUAAACAUUUUAUCCUUUUUUAAAGUGACUUCCCAGUAAUCUGUUCUGGAAAAAUUUCAAAAUACACUUUAAAAUUUUUUUGGAACAGGAUUUUUAGAAGGAGAUUUGUAAAACAAAUUUUUUAGAAUUCAUAAAAAAUACAUUUAAAAUAAGAUUUUUAGAACGUAUAUAAUAAUUUUUAAAAUGACUUUUAAAAAAAAAUAAAAAUUGUAGCAUGUUCUCUCUCUCUCUCUCUUCUUCUUCCUCUACAGUGUGUUCUUCUUCUACAGUGGCAAAGUGGAACAGCGAUCAGUGAUAGUGCGGUGCAGUGAAGGAGUGUAUUUUAGUCUUUUUAUCUGUUGGAAAAGGGUGCAUUUAGUAAUAGUGGGGGUGUAAAAAGCAAAAUUUGAAUAUAAUUUCUAUGCCUCUUUUUCUGGGCCAAAUUGUACCUCUAGCCCAAUUCCUAUAUCAUGAAACACCUAUCCAUAAUUACAGACUGUUUCUUCCUGCACCUCCAUAGGUUCUUCUGACACCCCAUACACAACAUGAAAAUACUUUUUUAACCUUCUUGUGCCACCCCCAUAAAAUAGCUUUCGGAUUAUGUAAUCCAUACAUGCAUUUAAAAGAGACUUCCGGAUUACAUAAUUCAAAAACUAAUCCUGCAUCUGAAAAAAUACUUCCGGAUUAUGUAAUCCAGAAGUUAAUUAUGAAUUUAAAAAAAGACUUCCGGAUUACAUAAUCCGGAAUAUUACAGAGGGGUAUUUUUGGAAAUAUAAAAAUGUAUGGAGGUGGGAGAAGAAUAUAUGGAGGUGCAGGAAGAAACAACCAUAAUUACAUUCUGCUAAUUUCUAAUUACUACCAAUGUGUAGGCUAAAGUAGGUUUUAAUAUGUGAAGUAUGAAGAAACAAUGAAGAUCAUGCUUCUCCCAGGGAAGAAACAUUUCUCUCCUUUUUGGAAAUUAAUCCCUCUAUUUUCUCUCAAGUUUCCUUUCUCUCCCUUUUAAAAUUUAUUAUUAGUACUUUAUGCUGUAUUAUAUUAUUAUUGAUAACUGUCUCAUUUCUAUUAGUGCAUAAAUUU